GAUCCUGGCUCAGAUUGAAAGCUGGCGGCAGGCUUAACACAUGCAAAGUCGAGCGGAGAGAGAUAGCUUGCUACUGAUCUUAGCGGCGGACGGGUGAGUAAUGCUUAGGAAUCUGCCUAUUAGUGGGGGACAACAUUUCGAAAGGAAUGCUAAUACCGCAUACGUCCUACGGGAGAAAGCAGGGGAUCUUCGGACCUUGCGCUAAUAGAUGAGCCUAAGUCGGAUUAGCUAGUUGGUGGGGUAAAGGCCUACCAAGGCGACGAUCUGUAGCGGGUCUGAGAGGAUGAUCCGCCACACUGGGACUGAGACACGGCCCAGACUCCUACGGGAGGCAGCAGUGGGGAAUAUUGGACAAUGGGCGCAAGCCUGAUCCAGCCAUGCCGCGUGUGUGAAGAAGGCCUUAUGGUUGUAAAGCACUUUAAGCGAGGAGGAGGCUACUUUAGUUAAUACCUAGAGAUAGUGGACGUUACUCGCAGAAUAAGCACCGGCUAACUCUGUGCCAGCAGCCGCGGUAAUACAGAGGGUGCAAGCGUUAAUCGGAUUUACUGGGCGUAAAGCGCGCGUAGGCGGCUAAUUAAGUCAAAUGUGAAAUCCCCGAGCUUAACUUGGGAAUUGCAUUCGAUACUGGUUAGCUAGAGUGUGGGAGAGGAUGGUAGAAUUCCAGGUGUAGCGGUGAAAUGCGUAGAGAUCUGGAGGAAUACCGAUGGCGAAGGCAGCCAUCUGGCCUAACACUGACGCUGAGGUGCGAAAGCAUGGGGAGCAAACAGGAUUAGAUACCCUGGUAGUCCAUGCCGUAAACGAUGUCUACUAGCCGUUGGGGCCUUUGAGGCUUUAGUGGCGCAGCUAACGCGAUAAGUAGACCGCCUGGGGAGUACGGUCGCAAGACUAAAACUCAAAUGAAUUGACGGGGGCCCGCACAAGCGGUGGAGCAUGUGGUUUAAUUCGAUGCAACGCGAAGAACCUUACCUGGCCUUGACAUAGUAAGAACUUUCCAGAGAUGGAUUGGUGCCUUCGGGAACUUACAUACAGGUGCUGCAUGGCUGUCGUCAGCUCGUGUCGUGAGAUGUUGGGUUAAGUCCCGCAACGAGCGCAACCCUUUUCCUUAUUUGCCAGCGAGUAAUGUCGGGAACUUUAAGGAUACUGCCAGUGACAAACUGGAGGAAGGCGGGGACGACGUCAAGUCAUCAUGGCCCUUACGGCCAGGGCUACACACGUGCUACAAUGGUCGGUACAAAGGGUUGCUACCUAGCGAUAGGAUGCUAAUCUCAAAAAGCCGAUCGUAGUCCGGAUUGGAGUCUGCAACUCGACUCCAUGAAGUCGGAAUCGCUAGUAAUCGCGGAUCAGAAUGCCGCGGUGAAUACGUUCCCGGGCCUUGUACACACCGCCCGUCACACCAUGGGAGUUUGUUGCACCAGAAGUAGCUAGCCUAACUGCAAAGAGGGCGGUUACCACGGUGUGGCCGAUGACUGGGGUGAAGUCGUAACAAGGUAGCC
rnacentral:rRNA from 1 species